GAAGCUUCUUACCAAUAACCUCCAAACUUUACAUCCUUAUCCCUGCCUUCCUCUAGGACUUCAAUAUAGAAUUUCGCCCAGAGACUGUAUUGGCAGCCUAACUUCGGAAGCAAGAAUCCACGCAACGCCCUACUCGACAGUUGCAAUGUUCUGAUGUUGUAAUCCGGGUCAUACUACAUGCACAGUUAGCAACAAUAUUGGCCAAAGAUCUGUAAGCUGAAUAAAUUAUGAGCAUAUUUAAGGCAUUAUAUUCUACAUCUCUUAAAUGUGUAGCAGGACCUGACUUGAGAUUUGGCGAAUUUAUUUUGCGAUAAGAUUCACAACACAAGCCUAAAAACAAGCAAGGCAGUCCUGGGUGUUAUUCCUCCUCUUCUUAAUUCUAAAUCAGAGGGGCCCCUCCAUUGUUUGAUGAAACCACAAGGAUUUUUAUGAUAUUCGGCUGGUUGCGAUAUAUGUGCAGGGCAAGCCCACAUGGUAUAAGGAAAGAGUUUAUAUUACUGACUCGGUUUCUUCUCUUGAGCACAAUGGCAAAGUCAGAGGAGAGAGUUAGCAAUUCCUUGAAUAUAUUAAAAACAAUUUUGAAGGAUCUAAACUCAUCCCCACAGUAUAUGCAUACAAUCUCUCUAUCUAUUUGAUCUGUUUUCACCGUUAUUCCAUGUCAUAACCCAAAUGGUUAUGUGCUUUAUGUUUGUCAAUAAUCUAAAUCUACUUUGAUUUACAGAACUGCUUGAUGGCAGUUUAGGGAUUAUACUUCAAAAUUACCUAAUCAUGCGAUAAUUUAUUCCAGGUUAA